GGGUUGUGAGGUUAAGCGACUAAGCGUACACGGUGGAUGCCCUGGCAGUCAGAGGCGAUGAAGGACGUGCUAAUCUGCGAAAAGCGUCGGUAAGGUGAUAUGAACCGUUACAGCCGGCGAUGUCCGAAUGGGGAAACCCAGUGCAAUUCGUUGCACUAUCGUUAACUGAAUACAUAGGUUAACGAGGCGAACCGGGGGAACUGAAACAUCUAAGUACCCCGAGGAAAAGAAAUCAACCGAGAUUCCCCCAGUAGCGGCGAGCGAACGGGGAGCAGCCCGGAGUCUGAAUCAGCUUGUGUGUUAGUGGAAGCGUCUGGAAAGUCGCAGGGUACAGGGUGAUACUCCCGUACACUAAAACACACAGGCUGUGAACUCGAAGAGUAGGGCGGGACACGUGGUAUCCUGUCUGAAUAUGGGGGGACCAUCCUCCAAGGCUAAAUACUCCUGACUGACCGAUAGUGAACCAGUACCGUGAGGGAAAGGCGAAAAGAACCCCGGCGAGGGGAGUGAAAAAGAACCUGAAACCGUGUACGUACAAGCAGUAGGAGCCCCACCACCAAAGCGUUUCGCUUUGCGUGGUGCGCAAAAUGCGUAACGACAGCAUGAUGGACGGUUAACGGAGCGUCAGCGACGUUCAACGUCAAAAAUCAGGCAGUGGAGCGUUUUGGGGUGGGGUGACUGCGUACCUUUUGUAUAAUGGGUCAGCGACUUAUAUUCUGUAGCAAGGUUAACCGUAUAGGGGAGCCGCAGGGAAACCGAGUCUUAACUGGGCGUUAAGUUGCAGGGUAUAGACCCGAAACCCGGUGAUCUAGCCAUGGGCAGGUUGAAGGUUGGGUAACACUAACUGGAGGACCGAACCGACUAAUGUUGAAAAAUUAGCGGAUGACUUGUGGCUGGGGGUGAAAGGCCAAUCAAACCGGGAGAUAGCUGGUUCUCCCCGAAAGCUAUUUAGGUAGCGCCUCGUGAAUUCAUCUUCGGGGGUAGAGCACUGUUUCGGCUAGGGGGUCAUCCCGACUUACCAACCCGAUGCAAACUACGAAUACCGAAGAAUGUUAUCACGGGAGACACACGGCGGGUGCUAACGUCCGUCGUGAAGAGGGAAACAACCCAGACCGCCAGCUAAGGUCCCAAAGUCAUGGUUAAGUGGGAAACGAUGUGGGAAGGCCCAGACAGCCAGGAUGUUGGCUUAGAAGCAGCCAUCAUUUAAAGAAAGCGUAAUAGCUCACUGGUCGAGUCGGCCUGCGCGGAAGAUGUAACGGGGCUAAACCAUGCACCGAAGCUGCGGCAGCGACACUAUGUGUUGUUGGGUAGGGGAGCGUUCUGUAAGCCGUUGAAGGUGGCCUGUGAGGGUUGCUGGAGGUAUCAGAAGUGCGAAUGCUGACAUAAGUAACGAUAAUGCGGGUGAAAAACCCGCACGCCGGAAGACCAAGGGUUCCUGUCCAACGUUAAUCGGGGCAGGGUGAGUCGACCCCUAAGGCGAGGCCGAAAGGCGUAGUCGAUGGGAAACAGGUUAAUAUUCCUGUACUUGGUGUUACUGCGAAGGGGGGACGGAGAAGGCUAUGUUGGCCGGGCGACGGUUGUCCCGGUUUAAGCAUGUAGGCGGAUGUUCCAGGUAAAUCCGGAGCGUCACUAACGCUGAGGUGUGAUGACGAGGCACUACGGUGCUGAAGUGACAAAUGCCCUGCUUCCAGGAAAAGCCUCUAAGCAUCAGGUAACAUCAAAUCGUACCCCAAACCGACACAGGUGGUCAGGUAGAGAAUACCAAGGCGCUUGAGAGAACUCGGGUGAAGGAACUAGGCAAAAUGGUGCCGUAACUUCGGGAGAAGGCACGCUGAUGGUAGGUGAAGUGACUUGCUCAUGGAGCUGAAAUCAGUCGAAGAUACCAGCUGGCUGCAACUGUUUAUUAAAAACACAGCACUGUGCAAACACGAAAGUGGACGUAUACGGUGUGACGCCUGCCCGGUGCCGGAAGGUUAAUUGAUGGGGUUAUCCUCGCGGAGAAGCUCUUGAUCGAAGCCCCGGUAAACGGCGGCCGUAACUAUAACGGUCCUAAGGUAGCGAAAUUCCUUGUCGGGUAAGUUCCGACCUGCACGAAUGGCGUAAUGAUGGCCAGGCUGUCUCCACCCGAGACUCAGUGAAAUUGAACUCGCUGUGAAGAUGCAGUGUACCCGCGGCAAGACGGAAAGACCCCGUGAACCUUUACUAUAGCUUGACACUGAACACUGGUCCUUGAUGUGUAGGAUAGGUGGGAGGCUUUGAAGUGUGGACGCCAGUCUGCAUGGAGCCAUCCUUGAAAUACCACCCUUUAAUGGCUGGUGUUCUAACGUGGGCCCGUGAUCCGGGUUGCGGACAGUGUCUGGUGGGUAGUUUGACUGGGGCGGUCUCCUCCUAAAGAGUAACGGAGGAGCACGAAGGUCAGCUAAUCCUGGUCGGACAUCAGGAGGUUAGUGCAAUGGCAUAAGCUGGCUUGACUGCGAGCGUGACGGCGCGAGCAGGUGCGAAAGCAGGUCAUAGUGAUCCGGUGGUUCUGAAUGGAAGGGCCAUCGCUCAACGGAUAAAAGGUACUCCGGGGAUAACAGGCUGAUACCGCCCAAGAGUUCAUAUCGACGGCGGUGUUUGGCACCUCGAUGUCGGCUCAUCACAUCCUGGGGCUGAAGUAGGUCCCAAGGGUAUGGCUGUUCGCCAUUUAAAGUGGUACGCGAGCUGGGUUUAGAACGUCGUGAGACAGUUCGGUCCCUAUCUGCCGUGGGCGCUGGAGAAUUGAGGGGGGCUGCUCCUAGUACGAGAGGACCGGAGUGGACGCAUCACUGGUGUUCGGGUUGUCAUGCCAAUGGCAUUGCCCGGUAGCUAAAUGCGGAAGAGAUAAGUGCUGAAAGCAUCUAAGCACGAAACUUGCCCCGAGAUGAGUUCUCCCUGACUCCUUGAGAGUCCUGAAGGAACGUUGAAGACGACGACGUUGAUAGGCCGGGUGUGUAAGCGCAGCGAUGCGUUGAGCUAACCGGUACUAAUGAACCGUGAGGCUUAACCUUACAACGCCGAAG
rnacentral:rRNA from 1 species